AUUUAUUUUACAUAAUAUCAAAUAAAAAAAAUUACAAAUAAGUUAUAGUGUUUGGCAUGUUACAGCUGGAUACAUAUGAAGCUCAAGUGCCUUCUUUUUCCGUGUCUUCUUUGUUGUUUUUCUAAAUGAAAUGUCAUUCUAAAAUUGUUGAGAUCCUUAUUAAGCCAACCACCGAUUUUGUUGGUUUUCCUGUCACUGUCAAACCAAAAGCAACAAGAUUAAAAAAAAUUAAGAAAAUUAAAACAGAUUUUUUUUCUUACAGAUUUCAGAAAAGAAGAAAAUAAAAACAGACUAUUGCAACAUUUGAUUAUUAACAUUACAGCUAACUUGCCAUCCCAACAUUCUAUUUUUCUUUUCUUUUUUGCUUAAUUUUAAUAAAUUCAUCUCAUGAUCACUCCUUCAAAUUUCAUCUCUACAAUUUCAAAAGAGAGACAUAAUAUAAAGUUAUAAUUUAAUGUUUUGAGAGCCUCUCCAGGAGGAGGCAUUGUUGAUUAAUAAUCUCCUGGAUCAAAAAAUUAUACAAUUCAAUUAUGUCUCAACAUUGUGGAUUAUAAGGUGUUUAAUUGUUUAAACCCUUGUUAACAUUUUAUUCCAAAGGAUUUGGUGGGAUUAAUUCAUAUUUGCCUCACCCUUGUCUUGAUUAGCUUAGGAAGAAUUUAUUUGACUUUGUAACAAUUCAUUUUACAAAGAAUUUGUAACAUUAUACAUAGAAAAAAAUGGGAGACAUUUCACCGGAGAGAAAAUCGGGUUGUGGAUUGAUGACAACGGUAUUCGGAAGACAUAGUCAACGGUCGAAAAAAGCAUCCUCUACAGGAUCUUCUCCCAUACCACGUAGUAGAAGUGCCUCUAAAGAGGUAGUUUACGUCGAUCCACCUUCACGCAACGUAGCUUCUCGUUCUGUUUCCAAUUCUUCUUGUUCAUCAAAUAAUAAUAAUAAUCCACAGAGAAGAAACUCCAACGAAACGACAAUGCCACGUGGCAUGUCAAAAAAUUCAAAUUCAUCAACUACACAGGGGUAUGUUAACCAAGGUAGGAGGGUGCCAAAAGAAGUUGUUGGAAUUUCAGGUGAGUUAGAUACCAUGAUCAAUGAUCACCAAAAAUCUAACUCCAAAGGAAGUACUUUUGUUCGCGCUUCUUCUGGCAAUGUUAUGUUAUAUGGACAUUUAGGUAAUCUUAGACAAGGAGCUAAAGAUAAUAGUUAUUCAAAUGCAAUGGAUAAUUAUAACCAAUACUUUGAAAAUGCAAAUUCAAAUGUUGGAGGAAACACAAAGAAUGUGUCGAGUAUUAAUAAAGAGACAAAUUCCUCGACGAAGUUGAAGGGAGAAAAUACGGGUGGUGGUUCACUUUGUAGGGCUAUAUCAACUAGAAUGGAUCCAGAACAGUUGAAGAUAAUGGGGAACGAGGAUUAUAAGAAUGGAAGAUUUGCGGAGGCGUUAUCUUUGUAUGAUGCAGCUAUUGCAAUUGAUCCUAAAAAGGCUGCUUAUAGAAGUAACAGAAGUGCUGCUUUAACUGCUCUUGGUAGGCUUCUUGAAGCUGUGUUUGAAUGUAGGGAAGCUAUUCAAAUUGAUCCUCAUUAUCAUCGAGCUCAUCAUCGUUUAGGAAGUUUGCAUUUUAGGUAGGUUAUGCAUAUGAAAUUAUGCAACAUUAAUUCAACAUUAAUUGCAUGUUAUCGGAUACAUAUAUCUUUUUGCUUAUGUUUAUGAGCGGAGGGAGUGACUGUCUCACUGAUAGCGUGCGUUUCUUACUUUUUAUUACAGAUUAGGAGAAACAGAUAAGGCCCUUUAUCAUUAUAAACAAGCAGGGCCAGAGGCUGAUCCUGAUGAAGUUGCUAAAGUGAAGAUUCUUCAAGCUCAUUUAAAUAAGUGCACCGAGGCUCAAAGGGUAGGAGAUUGGAACAAACUCGUGGUCGAGACCUCCAACACUAUAUCAGCUGGUGCAGAUUCUGCUCCACAGGUACUAAUCAAUUAUUAAUUGACAUAUAUAUCAUAUCAUCUCGUCGACUAUUUUAGUUUAUGGUUAUGAAUUGUGGUUGCACUCGCAACUUCAUUAUGCUACGAACCUUGAUAUUGCAGUAAAAUGUGGCUGCAAUAUAUUGUGGCCACUAACAAUUGCGGGCCACAAUUUAAAACUAUUACCCUAAUCUCUCUCUCUCUCUCUCAUACACACACACACCUAAUGUUUCUAUUACACAUACAUGUAAUGUUUUUAUUGAUUAUGUCACCGGUUUUGGUUUUUAAGAUAUUUGCAUUGCAAGCGGAAGCCCUGAUAAAACUCCGUAGGCAUCAAGAUGCGGACAACGUAAUGUCAAAAUGUCCUAAUUUUGAUGUUGACGAUUGUACCAAGUUCUUUGGACCAAUUGGGAAUGCAAAUUUGUUAGCAACACGAGCUCAAGUUGAUCUAGCUGCUGGCAGGUAAUUAAUCCUUAUUUAGUUUCUGGUCUACCAAUAAUUUCAGAAAAUAAUGUAACUUGGAGAAAUGACAAUCAUUGAACAUUGUGUUAUCAGAUUUGAUGAUGCUUUGGAGGCAGCACAUAAAGCAACUAGGCUAGACACUAACAACAAGUUAGCAAACAAGGUAUUGGGAAAGGCUCGAGCCGUGACAGGUGCAAGAUGUAGAGGAAACGAGCUUUUCAAGGCGUCGAAAUUCUCUGAGGCUUGUAAUGCAUAUGGAGAAGGGCUUCAGCAUGAUCCAUAUAACUCAGUUUUACUAUGCAACCGAGCCGCUUGUAGAUCAAAACUUGGUCAAUUGGAGAAAGCAAUUGAAGAUUGCACCGCUGCUCUUAACUUACGCCCAUCUUACACCAAAGCAAGGUUGAGAAGAGCUGAUUGUAAUGCUAAGGUGAUCCGUCGACCUUUUUUUUAUUUCUUUAUAUACUAUACUUGAUGCAAUUUAGGCGAAUAUAUUAUAUACAAGUUUCAUAACAUACGAUUAAUAUUUAACUUGUUGGGAUAUAUAUAUCUGCUAAUAAGAUUUGUGUGAUGUCGAUAUAUUGUGAAAUUGAUUAUAGUUGGAAAGAUGGGAAGCUUCAAUAGGAGACUAUGAAAUCUUGUUAAAAGAGACACCAGAAGACGAGGAAGUCAGCCGUGCAUUGUCGGAGGCUCGGGUCCAACUUAAGAAACAACGAGGCGGAUAANNNNNNNNNNNNNNNNNNNNNNNNNNUGCAAGUUUGAGUUUACCGCAUGCUUUGUUUCAUGUCGAGAAAAGAGCUUUUUUUGUGUGCAUCGGCAAUUAAAGAAUAUUACACAUCACAAGAUCAAUCCUUUGGAAAAGAAAAGUGAAAUUGCAGUGUUUAGAGCCAAAAAAUGAAAUUCACUUCAGAAUUCAAAACAUUUCAGAUAUAAACACAGCACUGUUUGUUUUGAAGCUAACGGAACUAAAAUUUAAAGUUACAAGUUAGUUAGUAAUGUAUAGUACUCUCUUUGGUUUUCUUGUUUCUUUUGUAAGAAACUACAUAACACUUUUUAUGAUGGAUUUGUAUAUUAGUCUACUAGUAUUGCCACUAAUUAAACCUUCAUAUACAUCAAAAUCAAUUAUCAAUACAGUAAAAAAAACAAAAGAUAAACAAACACAAACAAGACAACUAAGAAGGGAAAGGUUAAACAAAAGAAAGCAAGACAACGAAAAGGAGAUAGAAACGAACCUGGAUUGCCUGCGGUCACUGACUGCACGCGAUCACACAUAUAUUAAGACUGCAGUUUUCCCAAGUCACCAAAGGUCAUGAAAUCAAAUUCAUUGCUGACAAAAACUUAUUAAAC
rnacentral:lncRNA from 1 species